GCGCACGUGGCGGAAUUGGUAGACGCGUUAGCUUGAGGGGCUAGUGACCACUAUUGGUCGUGGAAGUUCGAGUCUUCUCGUGCGCA
rnacentral:tRNA from 1 species